rnacentral:rRNA from 1 species
CCUACGGGUGGCUGCAGUCGAGAAUCAUUCACAAUGGGGGAAACCCUGAUGGUGCGACGCCGCGUGGGGGAAUGAAGGUCUUCGGAUUGUAAACCCCUGUCAUGUGGGAGCAAAUUAAAAAGAUAGUACCACAAGAGGAAGAGACGGCUAACUCUGUGCCAGCAGCCGCGGUAAUACAGAGGUCUCAAGCGUUGUUCGGAAUCACUGGGCGUAAAGCGUGCGUAGGCUGUUUCGUAAGUCGUGUGUGAAAGGCGCGGGCUCAACCCGCGGACGGCAGAUGAUACUGCGAGACGAGAGUAAGGGAGGGGGAACCGGAAUUCUCGGUGUAGCAGUGAAAUGCGUAGAUAUCGAGAGGAACACUCGUGGCGAAGGCGGGUUCCUGGACAUUAACUGACGCUGAGGCACGAAGGCCAGGGGAGCGAAAGGGAUUAGAUACCCGAGUAGUC